CCUACGGGAGGCAGCAGUAAGGAAUAUUGGUCAAUGGACGGAAGUCUGAACCAGCCAUGCCGCGUGCAGGAUGACGGCCCUCUGGGUUGUAAACUGCUUUUAUAGGGGACGAAAAAAGGGGAUUCUUCCUCACUUGACGGUACCCUAGGAAUAAGCACCGGCUAACUCCGUGCCAGCAGCCGCGGUAAUACGGAGGGUGCAAGCGUUAUCCGGAUUUACUGGGUUUAAAGGGUGCGUAGGUGGGUCGGUAAGUCAGCGGUGAAAUCUUCGAGCUUAAACUCGGGAAACUGCCAUUGAUACUAUCGGAUCUUGAAUCGUCUAGAGGUAAGCGGAAUAUGUCAUGUAGCGGUGAAAUGCUUAGAUAUGACAUAGAACACCAAUUGCGAAGGCAGCUUACUAUGGAUGUAUUGACACUGAGGCACGAAAGCGUGGGGAGUCAAACAGGAUUAGAUACCCUGGUAGUCCACGCCUAAACGAUAGGAUACUCGACAUUUGGAGAUAUACUUUAAGUGUCUGAGCGAAAGCAUUAAGAUCCCACCGUAGGAGACGANCGCGAGAGUAGAACGUACAAGAGAGUAGACGCGUGAGACGUAGACCGAACGGACGACGACGAGGGAGGAGG
rnacentral:rRNA from 1 species